ensembl:snRNA U6 U6 spliceosomal RNA
AUGCUGGCCCAUGCACAUACACUAAAAUUGGAACUGUGCAGAGAAGGUUACCAUGGUCCCUGCACAAGGAGGACACACAAAUGCGUGAAGUAUUCCAUAUUUUU